GGCUGUGAUUUUUCUAGUCUUUGUGAGGGUUAAGGGGAGGUCAGUGCACAUGGACGUGAUAAGGACACUUGUGGUAGAUGUUCUGAACAGCUGGAGAGCCUGGGCUGAUGCAACUGCACAAGAGCAGGUAGUAGUGGAUGCAUAGUGUUCCUGCUCUGAGCCUAGGGCCACGGUAAGAAAUGCACAUGUUUGUGCAUAAGGCCUUUAUUACAAUGACCUCACCCAUAUGUAUGCAUUUUAAUCAUGCCAGUGAAUGUUGGCUGUGUUUAUUUUUAAUACAGAGCUUGUUUUGAUGUUACAAUUGUGAUGGUGUGGAUCUAAUGUUGGUGACUCUUCAUCUUAGGCCUUAAAAUCCAGAGCUGAAAGUGAAAAGGCACUUUGCAUUACUUUAAAAUACAAAAGGGAAUGUCCCUGGGCAAAUUAGUCCUUCAUUUCCAUUCUAGACUGUAGUCAGCUGUCUGCUGCCUGGAGUCCACAGCACACAAGUAGCUCUGGAGGUCACCCGAGGUCCCUUCUCCUGCAGCUUCCCGCAGCCAGCUGAUAGGUGUUGGAAAGGCAAACAGACUUUCGGGGGAAUGUUCGCUUAUACCCUGACCUUCAGUGUGACCUCAAGGGUAAAACACAGUAUUUGCAAGCCCUGAGUUUUAUUUAACAUGCUGUUAAUUCCCUCUUUCUUGCCCUGGAUAGCUCCAAAAAAAUCCUCAAGAGGAAAGCAUAUACUCUAAUUCCCAGGUCUAGCAGGGCUUUCCAUUAGCCAUGGUGGUGGAGUACUUGUUACAGUAGCAGUUCCCACGAGCUUUUCAUAGAGGAGAGGUGUUAAAAAAAUAAAAAAAAAAAAAAAGAAAAAAAAAAAAAGAAAAAAAAAAAAGAAAAAAGGUCACUGGAGUUGUUGGCAGCCAGUCUGUGUGAUGGAGCCCCAGGAAGACCAGGGAUUUCUGACUUCAGCCUUGCUCUCUCCUGCAUAGUGUUGCUGCUGGAUCUGCAGAGAUCUCACGGUUUUGUAAUGCAUGACGUGUGCUGGUGAUAGACAGGCAAGCCAGCGAGCCGAAGGCAAGCUGCCAGCCUUCCCUUCACUUUGAAUGCCCUUGGCUGUCCCGAGACUCGUUCCAAAACAUUUAAAUCGCUUAAGUGUGCAGUGAUGUGUUUUAAUUAAUGCAGAAGAAGGGGGCAGUAAAAUACAGGUCCCUUCAGUACUAAUUUGGCCUCGCAGUUGAAGCACAGGUGCUAGAAAGCCAGCAGUGCCUGGAUUUGCCUCUGCCUUAUUGCAGCAUGUAUAGUGCUCAGCUUCCCCUGCCUCGGUGGGGCUGACAGUGCUGUCCUGCUGUCAAUAGGACAAGGUGUGCCAUGGGGAAGGUGAGGUUAGUGCACAGGCAUUUGUGAUACCUUCUUGGUGCUCUGUCUAGGAAACAAGCUCUGCAAACCAAACAGUUAGUUUAUUAUUAAAAAGCCGGACCUGGAGACGAAGGGCUUCCUGUGACACACUUUGUGACAAGUUUUGUUGAGUGGCGGAGAUUCCUCCAGAGUCCUUCAUCCAAAGUGAAGCAAUUGAUAGCAUCAUAGGAAGAGGUUGCUGCUCCCAUCACAUGGGGGGGACAUAACAAUCACACAGUUACACACCUUGCCCAUAAAAUGUGGCAUCAAAUCUGGGCUUCACUUAUGCAGUCCAGAGGUCCCCUCUUUCAUCAGAAACAAACAAACAAACAAAAAAACACUUUUGCAGAGCUCCAGAGAAGGAGUAUUUCUGAGUCCAUUAUUUUCCCCAUUAGCACAGUCGGGAAAAGCAACGUGGAAAACUUUCUGGGUCAUAAUGAAUGUAAAAGAGAGUAGAUGAUUUUGGAAUUUGCGAUGACACAUGGGUUAUUAGGGAUUACGUGUUGGCUUGGUGAAGAGGCACAGCUUCAGCAUCUAUGUCCUCGCAAUGAUUCUUUAACAGAGUGGGCAUACCAUGACUCGUCCAGGUGAAUAUAUUGCCCACUGCAAUGCUGGCACUCCUUCUAAGGAAGUAUUUUAAGCAAUGGCUUGGCCUGAAAACUGGUCAGAAGAUCUAGCAUUAGCUGACCUGGCCAGCCAAUCACCUAACCAAAUUUGUAAAUAAAGGUCAAAUUCUCUGCCAGGUUGCAAACGACUAGGACAUUUAUUGUGAGUGCUUUCCCUUUAGAAAGCCACCCUAACUGGAUCUUCUAAGCUUCUCAGAUACCCAGCAUUUGAAUGGCAGCUAGGAAUGGCUUUGAUUUUGUAGAAGUUUUAUUGGGGAAAUUUAAACAGCACCUGCAAUUAGUCAGCAUGAGUCUUACCAGAAUGGUCAGUUCCUUAAUUUAAUGAGCACUCGAACAGUGAUUCAUCUCAAAGUGGAACUUGGCUAUAUUGCUGCAGAAAGAAGAAAUGACAGAGGGGAACAAAGAGAAUGAGGAAAUAGUUGGUUUAGGCUGAAAACAGAGCAAUAUGUUCCUGGAAGUACACUUUCAGCCCCCGCGCGGGCCUGGCUCAUGCUGCGACAGGAACCCCUGCGUACAGGUGGACCGUCCUUACCAAGGUUCCUCUCUCCAGGCCAAAGCUCGGCCAGGCUGCAGGUGCUGCCUAGCACUACGUGCCAGACUGUGCUCCAGAACAACUCAAGGAGCAUUUUCUAUGCGUUCCCUUGUUCUGUGAAAGCACACACAGGUUAAAUACUUGCAUAGAAAUGUAAUAAUAAUGAUUAAUGCAUUCCUGCCCAGGCUCUGGCCCUUCUUCUGACAUAAUCCGUCCUUCUUCGAGACCAUAAAGCCUUUGCUCAUGAUGAUGGGUGUUUGGUCCUGCAGCCUGACUGAUGUCAGCAGGAGAUGAAAGUGUUGCACCUCUUGCAAGGUGAAAUCCACCCGUUCUUGACCAAGUGUAUGCCUUCCAGAGUAAUAAAAGAAGUGUAGCAACUAAGCCUCUAAGUAGGAGAUCAAGCAGAGGAAUGAGAAAGCAUUCACUGCCUGAGAAGAAGGCCUGGCAAAGCUCACGGUGGUGAAACCAAAUGGAAAUGUUGCAAACUUUCACCUAGAAUAAACAAUCCGAAUCAGCUGGAAGUGCUUUCCAUCGCCCUGGUUCCCAGGAACAGGGUUGCAUCAUUUUCUUGACACAAGGCUGCCAAAAUCUGUAGCGACAUACUAGAAUCCUACUGAUUAGCCAAGUUCUUGGCACACUUGUAUAGCCAGAGAUUUAUUUAUCUAUUUAUUUAUUUAUUUAUUUUUGUGAGAAUCGCUGGUAGAUUAAAUACGGGAGGCAGGCAACACAAAUACAUAUUUAUUUGGGUGGAGGAGACUUUUGGCUUUAGGGUAGAAUAAUGCUUUGUGUUACGUGGCAGCUUUCUGUCAGAGGACCUCAGACAUGAAAUACCAUUAUUAACCUCCCAGCAUUGUCUGUGGCAGAUGAGACAUGCUCCAUUUCUCAGAUGGGCAAAAGCUGGCCAGAGAUAUUAAGCACUGGCUGCUCUCAGAUCCCCUUGAGUCAAUCCUGACUUGCUUCCCCAUGGUUCUGAGCUCCCUGCUCUGUGUUUUUAUAUUAGCCUUUGAAAGCUGCCUGCAGCACUUGCAAUUAGUAGGCACACUGGUGGAAGAGUUGGUGGCACACCAGGGUCAGAGCUCAGGAGCUCUGGCCUUCUAUCUGCUCUGCUGCCUGCUGGGUUAUAUUUGGAAGCAGGGACAGCAUUCCGUAGUGUUUGCACUUCAGAAUUAUCUUACUUUGAGAAAAUCCUUUUUAUUCUUUUCUCAUAAAUGUCUCCUUCUGUUUCACAUCUGUUCUUUGAGCACUGCCUAACCCAUCAGUUUCGGUGGCUGUUUCAUCCUUGCUGCUUGCUGCUCUUGGUGCACACACACCCAGCUCUGGAGCACCUCCUUCACCCACCUCAUCUUCACCAGUUCUCCCACAGUGCCUACUUCUUCUUUUUACCCUUCACUGCCUGUGCCACCAUCCUCUGGUUGUUCAAGGCAGCCUUUAUACACACUUCCUUUUUCUUUGAAACUCGAGCAACGCAAGAAGUGUGUGCUUGGUAAAAGUUACACGGCAAUGGUGAGGUUUCCUUCUCGCUCGUCUCCUUCUUCGGUGUGGCUUCCUUUGGGAAUCCUGCUCAUAACUUCUUGCCAUUUGCAACAGGAUCCCAGGAACCGAGCAGCAGUGAGAUACAUCUGGGGCUAAGCUGGAACUGGAAGCCAAGUGCAGACAGGCAUACUGGAGUGGAGGGGAGGGAAGCGGAAAGCUCAGACAUAGCUGGACAUCCAGCAAGGCCUUGCAAAGCCAACUGGCAACACCAUCUUCCAGGGGCUGUCUGAAAUCACAGAUAAGUUUGAAUCAGAAGUUUCAAUGCAAACACUCAUGAACUUUGAGAGGGGUCAGGUCCAGACGGGCUCCAGCUGGACUCCAGACCCUGAUAAGAGAGUUCCUCCCGUGGGCCUCGAGAACAUCUGAAUCCGCAGCAGCCACUCGGCUGACCUCUCCUUCCCAGGUCUCCGGGCUUUUUUACCCAGUUACUAGGUCAUGAGCUUGCAGGAGACCCACCCACUUGGGCCUGAUGGUUUUCACUGGUCCAGGGACAUUUUUCUUUCUUCAGGGAGCUCUGCAAAGCAUUUUUUUUUUUUUUCCAGGAGGGGAGGAGGUUCAGCAUGACUCAAUGGUGUUUAAGAAACAGGGGAGACAAAUGAGGAGAUCCUAGAGGUACUUCCUUUCUGAAUAGCUCAGAGAUUAGUAACGCUUUUCCAUACCUGUAAAUAGUUUGUGCACAGACACGAAUGCCAACAACUUCUCUGGAAAGCUGCACCUCGCUAGCCUUUGUUUUUGAAGAGCAUUUGUGAUUUUUCAGCAACCACCUACCAAAGCCAAGAGAAAAUAAAAAGAUCCCUGACCUUUCACUGCUCUGAUUUCCUAAUCAUUUGGACACCUUUAAUCCUCGCCUCAGUCACAGGGCACUGUUGUGUAACACAGCCACAGUCCAGGAAGGGCCUGGCACAAGACAAAUGCUGGACAUGGAACAUCCUUGAUGCAAAAAAAAAGAGCUGUGCAGGGGAUGCAAAGAGGAGAGCACGUCUGGGGGCUCACAGCAGCAUAAGCUGUAUUUAUGCAGUGCUUGGGGAUCGGUCAAGGCAUGGAAGGUUUUUGCCUGUCACCAAAGCGGCCAUGCAGAGUGGUCAGACAAGUCGGGCGGCGAACGCGUGCACAUUAAUAUUUGCUGUCACUGAGGUUGCAAAACAAAAGCAGACAGAUCAUUUCAGGACUUGGCCUCCUUAUCUCCACCUACCACAGCCUAUAAAGUUGCAUAAGAAAACAGGACAGCAUAGGAAGAAAUUUGAGGUGGAAACCUGAAGAGAAAUGAAGCAGAUGCAGCGACACUGAAUGGCAAAACUCCCCCAACAGAGUGGGAUCAUAAGGUAAUGGCAAAGUCUGUGCAUGUCUCAAACCCUGACUUCAGAUCCUGCCCAACUUAGGCCAAAAGAAGUUAAAAUUAAGGAGGCUUCUCUUGUGGUUUGUCAAACGCUCUGUGAUUAUGGACACUCCAAAAGCUCAUUCUGCUGAAAGACUCGAGGAUGUGCACCCUGCUGGAAAACUUCCUUGUUAAAUGCACAUAAUUCCAGUAUGCAAAAACUUAAUGACUGAGAAAAAGAAGAAGAUGUUCCCCUUGUGGUUUGGUGGUGACAAAGGGGUUAAUCAUCUCCCGACGCUCCCGACAGGGUCACACUAAAGCCCUCACGUCCCAGCCUUCUCAGAGCAGCGUGGUGGGUCAAGCCCAGCAGACACGGGGUCCCUGCAAAAAUCCGGCAUGCGGCAGAGGAGACAAAGGCACUCCAAAGUACUUUCUGCUGGAAACCCGGGCUUCAUUUUCCAAAAGCAAAGAGGUGUUGUUUGGGAGACACGAGCAUCUGCUUCGUGACUUCUUGGUGCAGGGGACAAGCAACUCGCUGGUGUCUUGCCAGAUCCGGAACUGAAACCAUCAAUUCAUUUCACUGAAGAUCUUGUUCUUGACUCAAAUCAGCAAUAGCUUCCUCAGCUAUCACCAGGUUUCUCCCCACUGCAUCAGCUGUUCCGGCUCCUGUGGGCCUGAAGGUACCUGUUUUGUGGUAUGAGAGAGUUUUGUUUUUCAGAACAAGGUGAGAAGCUUCCCUAGACACUCAGUACCCACCUUUACGUCCCUUCUUGGAAUCCCAUUAACCCUGCAGCCAUGUGCCGAGGUGGAAGAGGGGAAGGCUGAGAGCAGGAAACAUGGGGAAGAUCCACCUGAAAUCAUUUCCCAUCCUGACUCCCAGGAAGAUCAACAAAUGACUCCCAGAGUCUCCAACCAUUUCAAUUUCAGAUAUACUUUCCAGACCAUGUUGCUAUCCACUUCCACAACCCCAGCUUGUGUCUCUCCAUAGGCUGCAUUCCUGGGAGCACCAGGAAGGGGAGGACACCACAGGGGGAUGCCACGGGAAGGGAAGGAGCUCUGCUCUGCAUUGGUCUCACUGUGCUGUAUGAAACAGUGACGGUGCUGCCCUGAGCUCGAGCCACACGAACUCUCAGUACCUGUUCUCAUAUCUUUCAGAGCUGUACCAAAGACCACCGAGAUCAAUGGAGUUUUCACACUGGCAAGCAUGAGUUUCGGAUUCGUUUUUCUGAGAUUUAAGUUUUAGGAACAGGCAGAAAAUUAUCCACUAGGAAAUCUGUUUCAAUCACCCCUUUUUAUGGCAGAUGCUUUGGAAAUGAUUAUGAGCUGUGUAAAGAAAUAUGGCCUUCUGAAUUUAUUCAGGCUAAUUCUGGGCAAAACCAAAGCUCUUUUAUACUGUUCAGGCUGUGCAGAGUCUUAAUGCACACAGAAAUUAAUUUCCAACCAACUUAACUCACUUUUGUUCUGCCAGAACAAUAGAAAAACCUGGAUCUACACUAUAUUUUGUAUUUGUGUGCUGGUCAAGAGUGUGUUUUCCUUUAACUACUGCAGUUAGAGCGAUAGAGUGAGUAUUAGAGUGAUAGGCAGAUAGAGUGAUUCCCUAGGGUGGAUGUAGUGAUGGCUUUAUUCAGUGUGAUUUAUCCCCCCUCUUAUAAAGGAAUAAGCCCCAUACAUAUAAACACCUCUAUAGCAUUACAAUUCCAUGCACAGUAGGGAAGUUUCCUGCUUUCCCACACACAGGCACAGGCUUACAAUAAAUACUGAGGCCCAGAUCAGCAAGCAUCUCUUUGCUUCCUACCGUGGGGUGAGUUCAAAAGAAAGUAGUGGGACAGAUGAUUCAACUCCGAUAAAAAUGUGAGUUGUGAUGGCCUUGGCAAACUUCUUUUACCUUCCAUUUGCUGCUGUUUCAUGUUAUUUGCUACACACCUUGAAGGGUUUCCAGCAUCCCCAGGCUCAGCACCAAGCCCAUUGCUACCGAAGGGUUUGUGUGCUGCUGGCACAUGGGCUUGUCACCGAAAUCACCCUCCCUGCCUUCCUGAACCCAAACGUGCACUUAUGGCUGGCUUCAAUCAGAAGGACUCCAGCACACAGUUAAAGUAAGGUACCUGCUCCAGUUCCCAACCACAAAACAGAUAUUCACCAUGUGAACCACGGUGCCGCUCAGUCAAAACAACUCAAAAUAAAAGCGCUGCCUACUAACAGUGAGAAGGAUUUGUUUGGUAUAAAUUACUUGGCAAAUAAUCCUGCACCUCAGAUACAUUUCAGAAAACCGUGACCUAUUUCUGGAUGACUUAUCACACCCACGUGUGACAAAAUUCCUCCAAUAAAUCAGUUGUGAUGAAUGA